AGUCAACUUCAGUCAUCAACUUUUUAUUGAUUACAAGACAUGUAUUUUCUAUGCAGCAUCACCUUGAGUGGUUACUUAUUCAUCAGAUCACAGACUAAUGAUG